rnacentral:lncRNA from 1 species
AGCAGAUUGGGAGUUGAUGAAGCUUGUCUGUUGAGUGCUUGAAUGCUUGCAGUUAAGACUCUUGAAUGUUCCUUCAAUACUGUCACACAAGUCAAGAAAAAGUAGUUUGGAAGUUGAUGAACUCUUUUGAACAUAAUAAAUUUUGAAAAGUCACUCUUUUCAACUUUGAAUGGUACGAACAAUUCCUCCUCUUUGUUUACUUGACUUUCCUUUUAUAUUUGAAUAAUUCUCAUCAAAUUUGAUAUUGUUUGAGCUCAAAAUUAGUCAUUUUUGUCCGUUGG